AUUGAACGCUGGCGGCAGGCCUAACACAUGCAAGUCGAGCGGAUGAAGGGAGCUUGCUCCUGGAUUCAGCGGCGGACGGGUGAGUAAUGCCUAGGAAUCUGCCUGGUAGUGGGGGAUAACGUCCGGAAACGGGCGCUAAUACCGCAUACGUCCUGAGGGAGAAAGUGGGGGAUCUUCGGACCUCACGCUAUCAGAUGAGCCUAGGUCGGAUUAGCUAGUUGGUGGGGUAAAGGCCUACCAAGGCGAGGAUCCGUAACUGGUCUGAGAGGAUGAUCAGUCACACUGGAACUGGGACACGAUCCAGGCUCCUAAGGGAGGCAGCAGUGGGGAAUAUUGGACAAUGGGCGAAAGCCUGAUCCAGCCAUGCCGAGUGUGUGAAGAAGGUCUUCGGAUUGUAAAGCACUUUAAGUUGGGAGGAAGGGCAGUAAGUUAAUACCUUGCUGUUUUGACGUUACCAACAGAAUAAGCACCGGCUAACUUCGUG
rnacentral:rRNA from 1 species